rnacentral:rRNA from 1 species
CAGCAGCCGCGGGAAUACGUAGGGUGCAAGCGUUAAUCGGAAUUACUGGGCGUAAAGCGUGCGCAGGCGGUUUUGUAAGACAGGCGUGAAAUCCCCGGGCUUAACCUGGGAAUGGCGCUUGUGACUGCAAGGCUAGAGUGCGUCAGAGGGGGGUUGAAUUCCACGCGUAGCAGUGAAAUGCGUAGAGAUGUGGAGGAAUACCGAUGGCGAAGGCAGCCCCCUGGGACGAGACUGACGCUCAUGCACGAAAGCGUGGGGAGCAAACAGGAUUAGAUACCCCCGUAGUCCCUGUCUCUUAUAC